GACGAACGCUGGCGGCGUGCUUAACACAUGCAAGUCGAACGAAAAGAGGGAAAGAGCCUGCUCUUUCCGGAAUUGAGUGGCAAACGGGUGAGUAACACGUAAACAACCUGCCUUCAGGAUGGGGACAACAGACGGAAACGACUGCUAAUACCGAAUAAGUUCCAAGAGCCGCAUGGCCCAUGGAAGAAAAGGUGGCCUCUACCUGUAAGCUAUCGCCUGAAGAGGGGUUUGCGUCUGAUUAGCUGGUUGGAGGGGUAACGGCCCACCAAGGCGACGAUCAGUAGCCGGUCUGGGAGGAUGAACGGCCAAACUGGAACUGGGACACGGUCCAGACUCCUACGGGAGGCAGCAGUGGGGAAUCUUCCGCAAUGGGCGAAAGCCUGACGGAGCAACGCCGCGUGAGUGAUGACGGCCUUCGGGUUGUAAAACUCUGUGAUCCGGGACGAAAAGGCAGAGUGCGAAGAACAAACUGCAUUGACGGUACCGGAAAAGCAAGCCACGGCUAACUACGUG
rnacentral:rRNA from 1 species